GGGGUUGUGGCUCAGUGGUAGAGCACUUGCCUAGCACAUGCAAGGCCCUGGGUUCAAUCCUCAGCACCA
rnacentral:tRNA from 1 species